CGCGUGGGAACAUACCCUUCGGUUCGGAAUAGCUCAGGGAAACUUGGAUUAAUACCGGAUACGUCCGCGAGGAGAAAGAUUCAUCGCCGAAGGAUUGGCCCGCGUCUGAUUAGCUAGUUGGUGAGGUAACGGCUCACCAAGGCGACGAUCAGUAGCUGGUCUGAGAGGAUGAUCAGCCACAUUGGGACUGAGACACGGCCCAAACUCCUACGGGAGGCAGCAGUGGGGAAUAUUGGACAAUGGGCGAAAGCCUGAUCCAGCAAUGCCGCGUGGGUGAAGAAGGUCUUCGGAUUGUAAAGC
rnacentral:rRNA from 1 species